rnacentral:tRNA from 2 species
CAAAGAAUAGUUUAAAAAAAAUUAUAAUUUUGGAGAUUAUCGAUAAAGAGUUUCUUUUUCUUUGA